CCUACGGGAGGCAGCAGUAAGGAAUAUUGGUCAAUGGACGAAAGUCUGAACCAGCCAUGCCGCGUGAAGGAUGACGGCCCUCUGGGUUGUAAACUUCUUUUAUAUGGGACGAAAAAAGGGAAUUCUUUCUCACUUGACGGUACCAUAGGAAUAAGCACCGGCUAACUCCGUGCCAGCAGCCGCGGUAAUACGGAGGGUGCAAGCGUUAUCCGGAUUCACUGGGUUUAAAGGGUGCGUAGGUGGGUAGGUAAGUCAGUGGUGAAAUCUCCGAGCUUAACUCGGAAACUGCCAUUGAUACUAUUUAUCUUGAAUUUUUUGGAGGUGAGCGGAAUAUGUCAUGUAGCGGUGAAAUGCUUAGAUAUGACAUAGAACACCAAUUGCGAAGGCAGCUCACUACGAAAUUAUUGACACUGAGGCACGAAAGCGUGGGGAUCAAACAGGAUUAGAUACCCUGGUAGUCCACGCCCUAAACGAUGGAUACUCGACAUCAGCGAUACACUGUUGGUGUCUGAGCGAAAGCAUUAAGUAUCCCACCUGGGAAGUACGACCGCAAGGUUGAAACUCAAAAGUAUAGUAGGACGUGNGAGAGACGACGACGACGACGAGGAGGAGGAGG
rnacentral:rRNA from 1 species